rnacentral:rRNA from 1 species
UAACGCGUGAGCAAUCUGCCUUUAAGAGGGGGAUAACAGUCGGAAACGGCUGCUAAUACCGCAUAAAGCAUUAAAUUCGCAUGUUUUUUGAUGCCAAAGGAGCAAUCCGCUUUUAGAUGAGCUCGCGUCUGAUUAGCUGGUUGGCUGGGUAACGGCCCACCAAGGCGACGAUCAGUAGCCGGACUGAGAGGUUGAACGGCCACAUUGGGACUGAGACACGGCCCAG